rnacentral:lncRNA from 1 species
AGUACCAGGCAGGAACCUGAUUAUCCCACCUGUGGUUGGAGCUGAACUAGAGCUGUGGAAAGAGACCAGGAGGACCGAGACAGGACACUUCUCUGCACGGGAAGCAGAAGACUAUUUGCUUCAAAAUGGUGCUGAAAAGAUACAGAAGUUCAAGAGGAUCACGACAGUACCAGGUCUCAGAUGGAAAGGAGAUGCUGCUCUUUUCCCAGCUCUGUGACAGGCCACUGAUGAGCCAGCUCCUGCUCUGCAGCUUAGAUGAGGCAGUUGAUUUUCAAGAUGAAAUAAAGAGGCUACUUCCCGUCAGCUCCUCGGUCUGUCAACUUCCAAGUCAGCCACACCAAAUUGGAGGACCAGUGGUUGAUACAGAGAACAGCUAAGACAGAAGGACAAGACAUUCCUGCAUGAAAAAUUAUGAACAGCAAGCAGCACAGGACUGUGUUUGACGCACGAAAGAGCUACAAAUGCCAAACAGAAAGUCAGGCUCAGUGUCUCUUUGUGCUUCAGGAGUUUGAAUAUGUUAAGAGACCAAAGUGCUGAAGUGUUGUAGCAGGAGGGCAAGAAGCAUCUCCCAGGUGCUGGAACCAUCAGUUGUCACAUUGCCACCUGGCCUGGAUCUCAGACAGAGGGGUGCUGGAGCUCUGCCAGCGACUCCAGUUCUGUGCAUGCUAGCAGUAAACCUUCAAAAUAGUGACACCACAUGGCUUGGGUUUUCUAUCAGCAACAUUUCAAUCCCCAUUAUUAAUAUUCAAGGAUUAGAGGGGCUGGUUUUACCUGAACAUAACUAGGUUGGAAAUAUACUGCUUGUGGAGUGCUGCUUUUAUGCUUUUUUUUUUUUUUCUUUUUCUGUUUUUCUUCUGACUCCUCAGUUUCCUGUUGCUUAAUGCUGAAUAGCAUGCAAGGUGACAGUCAGUAUUUUCUGGAAUCUAAGAAUUAAUCUGUUUCACACCAAUUGUCUCCACAGCUGUCU